CUCCAGAUGACGAGUCCCAAAUAGGAAGAAAUGCGCAUCCUGGAU
rnacentral:hammerhead_ribozyme from 1 species